rnacentral:rRNA from 1 species
AUUGAACGCUGGCGGCAUGCUUUACACAUGCAAGUCGAACGGUAACAGGCCUUCGGGUGCUGACGAGUGGCGAACGGGUGAGUAAUGCAUCGGAACGUACCCAGAGGUGGGGGAUAACGCAGCGAAAGCUGUGCUAAUACCGCAUGUGAUCUGAGGAUGAAAGCGGGGGACCGAGCAGCAAUGUUUGGCCUCGCGCCUUUGGAGCGGCCGAUGUCGGAUUAGCUAGUUGGUGGGGUAAAGGCCUACCAAGGCGACGAUCCGUAGCUGGUCUGAGAGGACGACCAGCGACACUGGGACUGAGACACGGCCCAGACUCCUACGGGAGGCAGCAGUGGGGAAUUUUGGACAAUGGGCGCAAGCCUGAUCCAGCAAUGCCGCGUGCGGGAAGAAGGCCUUCGGGUUGUAAACCGCUUUUGGCAGGAACGAAACGGUGUCCGCUAAUACCGGGCGCUAAUGACGGUACCUGCAGAAUAAGCACCGGCUAACUACGUG